GAUGAACGCUGGCGGCGUGCCUAAUACAUGCAAGUCGAGCGAACGGACGAGAAGCUUGCUUCUCUGAUGUUAGCGGCGGACGGGUGAGUAACACGUGGAUAACCUACCUAUAAGACUGGGAUAACUUCGGGAAACCGGAGCUAAUACCGGAUAAUAUUUUGAACCGCAUGGUUCAAAAGUGAAAGACGGUCCUGCUCUCACUUAUAGAUGGAUCCGCGCUGCAUUAGCUAGUUGGUAAGGUAACGGCUUACCAAGGCAACGACGCAUAGCCGACCUGAGAGGGUGAUCGGCCACACUGGAACUGAGACACGGUCCAGACUCCUACGGGAGGCAGCAGUAGGGAAUCUUCCGCAAUGGGCGAAAGCCUGACGGAGCAACGCCGCGUGAGUGAUGAAGGUCUUCGGAUCGUAAAACUCUGUUAUUAGGGAAGAACAUAUGUGUAAGUAACUGUGCACAUCUUGACGGUACCUAAUCAGAAAGCCACGGCUAACUACGUG
rnacentral:rRNA from 1 species